rnacentral:misc_RNA from 1 species
GUGAAUCAUCGAAUUUUUGAACGCAAAUUGCACUCUCCUCGGAGAGUAUGCCUGUUUGAGGGUCAGCCUAUAAAAAAUCGACAUCGUUGCUGUUUCGCGGUGACGUUCGUCGGAAAUUGGGUCAUCUUAAAUCCUUUUGGUUUUAAGCGACUUAAAAUUCUCUUUGUGGUUACAUGAACGUUUCUAAGAUUAUUUUCUUUUAAGUUUUAAGGGUAUCGUUUUAUAUUAGAUGUGACUUGCAUAUCGGAUCGUGCAUAUAUUCUUCCAUUA